CCCUUAGCGAGAGGGAAAAGGCUGGAUUUUCUGAUGAUGGCUUCUCUGGGGUUCCAGUUUUCCAGUCAAGAAGUUUGGUAUUGAGAAGCCAAAACAAGAGAUACCGUCCUGUAUUCUUUCGAAAGGAGGAUUUAGAAAAAUCUCUAAGGCGGGCUUCACGCCAGCAGAAAAAAUUAAAUCCUGCAUUUAGGCAGGGGGAUAUUCAGGUUGCCGUUUUUGAAGAAAUAAUUAAGUCUAUGAAGGAUAGUUCUACUUCAACCUGGGAUGAUGUUGUUUUCAUCCCUCCCGGUUUCGACGUUUCAACUGAUCCUGCCCAGCAAUAGGAAGCUGCAAAUGAGUAGGUAAGACUUUUUGGACAAUCACUUGUCUAGUGUGUAUAUUCAACCAUGCAUUUGGGGCAACCAAGUGGAGCAGAGAAUUGCAUGUAUGUGCCUCAUAUAGAAACCUGAAAAGCAAUUUAAACUUGUUAUUUUCUCUUUAUACACCUUCAAUUACUCUCUUUCUAGCUGUGAUUUGACAUGAACUUGAUUAAUUAGGCAUUUGCGAGUUAAAUUUAGUAUCAAAACCUUACCUGGUGAGAGAAACUUGCUUUGAAACAAUCAGUAAUGCUGGC
rnacentral:misc_RNA from 1 species